rnacentral:lncRNA from 1 species
UGAGACCUUAUAUUUGCAAAUCAAUGUCAUUUUCCUCUAUACUAUACUUCGUUGAUGUCUUUUAUACACUUUUGAAUCCUAGCAAAAGGGUCCUUAAUCCGACUGGACCAACUACUUUGCUUAAUUAUAAAAAUACAAGGAAAAAACAAAACAAAACCUUUGGUUACUUUUACUGUUGAGCAAACAAUAAACAUGUGGGGGUGAAGUGGAAAUGGAAAGUAAAAAAGAAAAAUAAAUAAAAAUUGCGAGUGCGUUUCUGAGUCCCAAAAGGAAAGAUGAAAAGAUUGCUAGUAUAAGAUUAGAAUUUAUAAUACAAGGGAAGGGUCUUAGAGAAAUUAUAAAAUACUACAUUAAUAUAAUUAUGUGAUAUGUGUUAUAAUAUAAAUAAAUUACAAUUUAUUUUCUCUCUUUUUAUAUUAUAAUACAUAUACAAAAUAUACUAUAUAGCCAUAGUUGAUAGCAUUUUAUAAUCACUCGUCUCGAACUCGAAGGGAGGGAGUGAUUUUGUGAGUUGUGUGGCGGCAAUUAGAAAACACAUCACAUGCAGCAGCAAAGCAGGCAAGCAGUUGACACAUAGAAAGUCGGUGUUUGACACGUCAAAAAGAGCACAUCACAUGCUCCUAUGCAUCAUCAUAUAUAUUCAUGGCAUGCCCUCAUCCUUCCUUAGUAAUCUUUUGUGCCCUAAAUUUCAGAAACUCUAAUUAUCUUAUUGUUGUUGUGUGAACGUACGUUUUGACUCUUUGAAAUUUAGGAGACUUGUUCAAUGUUGAGUAGGAUGAGCAGCAGAGUGAGGUGGCCUUUUUUUUGGAACUAACGUCACGUAAAUAUUUAACUUAUUAAUUUUUUUGUACGCGCUUCUGCGCAUGCGAUAGAUUUUUUUUUAAACAAAAUUUAAAUUUAUUUUAGAAUUAAAAAGAUAAUGAGUAGUAGUGUUUUUGAAAAAUGGGAUUUAUUAUAUGAUUUUUUUUUUAAUUUUAAUUUUUUAAUAUGAAAAUGUGUGAAUUUAUCAUAUUAUCCUCAUUUAAUUAAUAAUUUUAAUUCUUAAUGUUUGAAUUAACUAAGGAUAUUUUCUGAUAUUUUGAAUGUUUC